GGGUGACGAGGGCGACGUGGUAGCCCGGGUUGCUCUUCAUGACAUCCGCCGCGCUCGUCGGCCAGUAGAGCCGCUCCACCCGCCCGCCGGGGUGCUGGAUCACCACCGUGGCCACCUCCGCUGCCUGGCAAUUCCCCAUCUUUCUCCUCUCCCUCCUUUAUCUUCACCGACGGUUGUUUGUGUUGUUGAUAUACAGGAACGGAAGAGGAGGAAAAGAGCGUUGCAGAGAAGAAAGCAGCCUUCAACCAACUGCAGCUGCUCGUGGGUGGCCUUCUUUAAUGGGAUGACAGAGAGGUGAGUCUCAAAACCCUGAUAUUCUAGUACAGUCUACCCUGCACUCGCCUAAAAUAAUAAUGUCGAUAGAGAAAGAGAGAGAGAGAGAGCGAGAGAGUGCUUCCUCGGCUAAUGGGCUACUCGAUCUUUAACUUGGCAUGAUGUCAGUGGGCGUAUGGGGGCGGUAAAGACGAUGGUAGGCGUGGUUUUACGUUGCAGGUCAGGGAUGGGGAUGAGGACAGGGUUAUCAUUUUACUGCAAGCGGGCAGCAGCGCUCAGGGGCGUGAGAUUCUUCCUGUCAUGGGAGUGUGUGCGCGAGGCGAGGGGGUGAGACGGGCCACAUUACCAAGAAGAAGACACUGAAUCACUGACAGAGAAGAAACGUCAUUUGCCUCUUUCUGCCCACCGAGCCAUGGGAUGGGACUUUUGGGUCGUCCCUGGGGGCAAAAAGCUUCUGCCAUUCCGUGUUCAUGGCCCACUGUUACCUCUCUUAUCCUCCUGGUGCUGGCUCCGGGACAUGAGGUGAACAGUAGUGACUACUCGUCGUUGCCCUCUGGCAUCCACUAGCAGCAUCGCAGGACGUGGUUUUUGUCUCAUGGAGUUGUGUUCGCUGUACGCGUUCACUGUUCGUUCAUAGUUGAACUAUGGUCCAAUACCUGCUGGGUAGGUGGGUGGUGGUACAUGAUACUUUUUUUAGUGUGGCAUUAAACCUCUUCCCAAAUAAUCGAUGUUCCAUGUAAUGUGUUGAUUUUGGAGGUGGGGAGUAGUAGUAGGUAGGGCAUGGAGGCAUCAAAGGAGGAGUCAACAACAAUCUUUUGCGUUAGCUUCGGAUUUAAAUCAGUCGAAUGAUUAGUUUAAUGUGGAAAACACAGUUGAUGCUAUGUUAAGUCUCCAAGUCCAGGGAGAGUAAAGUGCAAACACCACCUCUCUCCUCUCAGCUUUCUGGAAAAUCCAUCUCAAAGUUGUGUUCCUGAAAUCAUGUACUCGUGCAUCACAUCGGUUCGAUGUUCUCCUCCUUUCUUUCAGGUCCAUGCUGCCCCCACCCCCCCAAAGUGAUCACAGUCCAUGCCCCAAAGUGGGUCUCAUUGAUCAGUGCACCUGUGCUUGAUUAAUCUAUCAAGAGAAUCUAUACUUGUUUAAUCACCACUGUUCUACUUGUA
rnacentral:lncRNA from 1 species